UAUUUGGAAAGUAAAUAUCCGAUUCUUAAUUGUUAGAAGUUUGGAAAGUAGAUUAAAAAAAAUGUAAAUAUUAGGUUUAAAAGGAGAACACGCCCAAAACCUAGGAGAAUCAUGUUUCUAGAAACCUCUGUUCCCGUUAGAGACUCCUAUAAUCCUUAAAGCCCGACUCCACCUCUGUCCGUUCCGUUUAGUUCUAAGAUUCAAAAUUCAGACUGUCUGAUCUCCAAGCGCUUUCACCUGUUAGAACCUCUCCCCGCCUCGACCCCGCUGCCGGUCUAAUCACCAGCCUUCUAGCCUCUGGGGCAGUUGCUUGAUGGAGGUCUGUCUUGAAAAGUUGCAUGAACUGAAGAGCCAUUCAGGUAUGGGGAGCUGCUCCUUUCUUUGGUUUCCACGACAUUUUUGGAUAGCAAACAAACCGGCUCCUUCAAUUUUGAAUCAAUCAGUCUACUCUUUGCUUUGCUUGUCAUUGUGGCAGCAUGGUGGGUGACGAUAACAGUUUACUAGCAUUGCCUGCAAAGAAAAAGAAAGAGAAAAAUAAAGGCACUAUAGAGGUGCUUUAAGCAAAGUCUGGAACAAAUUUUCGGGUUUUUCUCCUUUUCUUCUCUGUUGAACAGUACUAGAUUUUUUGUUUGUUUAAAUUGUGCCGGUGGCCGAGCAGCUGGAUUCAAAGGAAAAUACGAGAUUGAGCAAAUCCCAGAAACGGAAACUAGAGGUCCUAUUGUUAUCCUGCCUGCCCGUGUUGAACCUCGUUAGCAUUUGUCACAGGAAGAGAAGAAGAACAAAAUUCUGUUUGCGAAAAGCCCUGAGAUGUUAGAG